AGGGAUUGCCCUAGUAACGGCGAGUGAAGCGGCAACAGCUCAAAUUUGAAAGCUAGCCUUCGGGUUCGCAUUGUAAUUUGUAGAGGAUGCUUUGGGUAAAACGCCAGUCUAAGUUCCUUGGAACAGGACGUCAUAGAGGGUGAGAAUCCCGUAUGUGACUGGAAAUGUUAACCUAUGUAAAGCUCCUUCGACGAGUCGAGUUGUUUGGGAAUGCAGCUCUAAAUGGGAGGUAAAUUUCUUCUAAAGCUAAAUAUUGGCGAGAGACCGAUAGCGCACAAGUAGAGUGAUCGAAAGAUGAAAAGCACUUUGGAAAGAGAGUUAAAAAGCACGUGAAAUUGUUGAAAGGGAAGCGCUUGCAAUCAGACUUGUUUAAACUGUUCGGCCGGUCUUCUGACCGGUUUACUCAGUUUGGACAGGCCAGCAUCAGUUUCGGCGGCCGGAUAAAGGCAUUGGGAAUGUGGCCUUCACUUCGGUGGAGGUGUUAUAGCCCAGUGUGUAAUACGGCCAGCCGGGACUGAGGUCCGCGCUUCGGCUAGGAUGUUGGGGUUA
rnacentral:rRNA from 1 species